UAAAAUCUGUUAGGAGCUAACCACUGUAAACAAAACCCAAUCAUAAGGGGUUGGGUUGGUGCUAGCAUUCUAUCUACUAACUCCGCUCAGCCUAUCUCAAUAUACAGAUCUCACUAAUCACCAAUCAUCUUCACAAAGCAAGAGAAAGCGAGACGGAUCCAAUCAGAGGCGGGACCAAGUUGCUGAGUGUAGCAUUGCAAAAAAACAGUAUAAGCCAUUAAACUCAAUCACCGCCAUUGUUGGAAACAGUAGAGCUUAGCAACCAUUAGCAACACCAUUGGGUACAAUUUUACUCUCAGAUACAACAGGUUUAGCACCCUUUGGGGCAUCUCCAGUUGUUGGAACAGCUCCAUUCUCAGAAUGUUUGUUAUCAUCAUUGUCCUUGGCUAGGGUAGACUCUUUGAGCA
rnacentral:lncRNA from 1 species